UUUUUUUUAGCUGAAAAGACGUAAAGGAAGCAGUCAACCCAGUUGUGUUUGUGGAGAGGUAUUCCUUCAGAAAUGGAGAAGAUAGAAAGCUGUGGAGGCACACAUUUGCAGUGGAUUGUUUGCAGAUGAUGUCCUUCUUUUUCAGGUCUACAGUUUUUUUAAGAGCCAACCAUCACAAACCUUCCUAAAAAAGAGCUAUUACUGAGUCUCAGCGAAUCUUGCCCUGAUCAGCCCUUUCCAGAUGAUCUCAUCAGCCAAAUGAGGGGUUUUGACCAAGUGACUAAAAGGAGUGAAAGAAGAGGAUGUGGUAAAUUGUCUUCAAAGAAAAAGCUUCUCAAAAGAUCUUAAAACAGCUUGAAGAAUGGUCUGGGAACUGUCUGAAAAUGGGAUGUUAGGACUGAGAGAUCCUCUGGCUGAGAAAAAGCUACACCACAUCCGUGCUGGAUAUCAACCGCAAACUGUUUACAGACACGAGAGAAGAAGAUCAUGACUGGGAAGAGCAAGAAACCAGUUUAGAUGUGAUGAUAAGGAAUCAUUAUUUUCUGAAACAGUAUCACAUGUCUUAUAUGUAUCACAGGCUCAGUAUCACAGCUGACUGGAUGGGAUUGUGUGACUUUGAAGAAAAUUUGAUCACUUAUCUGUGUGAACUGAUUAAUAUAUGAUGUUAAUGUUUUUUUGAUGAUCCAUUAUUUCCUUUGAAUCUUAUUUGUCUUGAUGCUACCUUAUCAACUUUAUAGUCUAUGCUUCAAUAAAA
ensembl:lncRNA